CCACGAGAGAAACACGUGUGACGAUCCCGCUUCCCCUCCUCUCCGCUCCGUUUCGUAUAUGCGCGAUGUUCGCCGCGAGUGACUAAAGAAGCCGAUACUUGUGAAAAACUUUAUAAUUGGAUGUGUUCAAUUGAGUGUCGUGUGAAUGUGGCAUAAGCAUAAGAAGUGCAUUGUUUGGAAGUGGUUUGACGGCAACCCGAGCCGGUUCUGUGGUCGGCACGAGCGGCCUGCCACCGGUACCGCUCGCCUGUGCUUUCUAAACGUUCCUCAGAGCGACGGCUGUAGCUGAGCUCUGUAUCGUCGACGGAUAUUCAAAGUGAACUUUUAGUCUGGCUUCCUACAGGCGCGCUCCGCCGCCGCCCGCCACAUGAGAGCGCGCCCGC